GUUUGGAACUGCACUGAGCAUGACUGUCCAGUCCAGUGCUCUGUUGUGGGUGAUUCUCAUUUUACCACCUUUGAUGGGCGCCAUUAUUCUUUUAUUGGCUUGUGCCAGUACAUCCUCGUGAAAGGAACUGGAAAAGAUAAAUUCACAAUUACCUUACAGAAAGCUCACUGUGAACAGAACCUGGGUUUGGUCUGCCUUCAGUCGAUAACUCUAAUUCUGGAGGAUGAUUUUAACAAACAAGUGACACUCAGUAGAGGAGGCCAAAUCCUCA